rnacentral:rRNA from 1 species
GAGUCCCGCAUGCAGAUGGGACCUGCGGUGCAUUAGCUGGUUGGAGAGGUAACGGGCUCACCAAGGCGACGAUGCAUAGCCGGCCUGAGAGGGCGGACGGCCACACUGGGACUGAGACACGGCCCAGACUCCUGCGGGAGGCAGCAGUAGGGAAUUUUCGUCAAUGGGGGGAACCCUGAACGAGCAAUGCCGCGUGAGCGAGGAAGGUCUUCGGAUCGUAAAGCUCUGUUGCCGGGGACAAAAGGCAGAAAGAGUGGAAAGCUUUCUGAGUGAUGGUACCCGGCGAGGAAGUCACGGCUAACUACGUGCCAGCAGCCGCGGUAAU